AGAUCGGACAUUUUGCAGCAUGAUGAGAGAAUCUUGGUAGUGAAGGGGUCCAAAAUCAGUAUCUGUAUAGGAAAAUUUACAAACUACAAGGCGGAUGGGUUUUCCUACCUUCCAUACUUCAGAUUUCUUACAGUCUGCAAUUAUUGUGUCUUUUAUUCCUGCAGAGAUACAAAACAAUAUUAGGAAUUAAGCUUCAGCAUCAACUUCAUACUAAUGGAUGUAGAAAACUACCACAAAAAGAAAUCCUACUGGGUACAAAACUUCAGUUUUUACAGAUUAUGAAAAUAUUUGGUUCUUAUGUAUCACUUAAAAGGAUUAAACAAUAAUCACCAAAAUAAACCAGUUGAUAUUAAUCUUAUUUAUCAUUGGUUUAGGAAAAAAAAAAAAAAAACUUUUUAAACGAAGUUACUGAAUAGCUGAUUUGAACUGGCUACAAAUCAGUGCGUAAUUUGUUCAUUUUGAGGUGGGAUUUAGGGAGUUUUAUUCAUAAUUUCAUUUCACAUUUAGGCUGAAAUAAUCCUGACAGAAAUCAUGGGCAUGUCUCAUUUAUUUAGCAUUGAUCAGUGGUUAAACGAUAUUGCAUUACUACAAGUGUGACUCAAGCCCUCACCUGCAAACAGCGGGGGAUAAUUACAGGGAAUGGUCAGUUUUCUAAGUUGCACAAAAUAUAAAGCAUCAACUUAAAGAUUUUUAUAAAUUUAGCAUAAGUACAGCUAAUUAAAAUUUGUUAUACUAGUUCAGAAAGUGGAGCUCAUUUUUUAUAUAGAUUCAUUACACAUAGAGGGAAAUAUCUUAAGCAAUAUCGUUUGAUUAAUUAAAUUAUUAUGGCUUACAAAUAAUUUUAAAAAGUAUUUUAGUGUUUCAUAAGAUCAAUAAAAAGAGAACAUUUUAAUCAGGAACGUCAGGCCUAUGAAAAGUGUUUUCCUUUGCAUGUUUUAAAUUGUUCAGGGUUUCUUCACACCUGCCACUUUUGUUCAUUUGAAAUGGUCUGACGUUACAUCUGUAAUAACAGCAUCAAUAUUCAAAGCAGAGGUUGAUUUCUUCAGUUUGUGCUUCUUUGCUCUGUCCUGCAGUCGUCAUUUCAGACCAACAAGAAUAACAUAAUUAACCCACUUUUAUCAACCUUUUAUAAAAAAAAAAAAAAAAUUUAAAAUCGAUAAGGAGGCGAAUAAAAUAUAGAAAGCAUAACUGUUACUUAAUUUUAGCAAUUUUUAUUUCAUAUCUUUGGCCCAUGUUAUGAAAAGAAAAGCAGUGAAUCAAUGUGGAACUUUCUUAGAAAUUUUAUUAGGAUUAUGUUAUUUUAGAAGAAGUAAUGGUUUCAUCUCCUUCAUUAGAAACCUGUGAUCUUCACAAAAUCAGAAGUAAACAAGCAGAGGUAAAGAAAAAUUUUUAUUUUUUUUCUCCUCAGCUCCUGAACAAACUCCUUGAAAGUCUGCUCUGUACAGAAAAGGUUGGCUUAAUUAGUUCAUGCAUGAAAACAUUAUUGUUUACUAAAGCUGGACACUAGAAAGUCUAAAAUGUUUUAAUCACUGCUUUUAAAUACAUUAAAUAUUUGUUAUGGUGAUGUAUGUCCUUUAAA